GAAAAAGAGUGUGGUAGCAUGAGACCUAAUGCAGUGAUGAGGGAUUUCCGUGAGUGCCUCAUGGAAUGUGCUUUCGAUGAUUAGAGUUAUAAUGGUGAUCCAUUUACUUUGAGAAGAGGUGAAAUUAUAGAACAUGUUGAUCGGGCAGUUUGCAAUGUGGGGUGGGCAUAUAAAUUUCCCCUGGCGGCGGUUAUUAAAGAAGAACACAUACAUACUGACAAUUGUCCAUUGGUUCUGGACUUGGACUAUUUUGAUGGCAAUAUGUUCAGUUGUCCAGAAUGGCGUAUGAAACAAUUUGAAGCUAGGUGGCUCAAGGAAGAAACGGUUGUUAAAAUUGCUAAGGUGUCGUGGGAAAAGGCUGAGAUGGUAGGUAUUGGUCUGUCGUUUGUAGACCGUACAUGA
rnacentral:rRNA from 1 species